GCCCGGGUAGCUCAAUUGGCUAGAGCGUCGGACUUUUAAUCCACUCAAUUGUAGAGGAAAAGGUCCAUCCGAAGGUUGGGGGUUCGAGACCCCCCUCGGGCG